UACGUAGGGUGCAAGCGUUGUCCGGAAUUAUUGGGCGUAAAGAGCGUGUAGGCGGCCCGAUUAGUCCGCUGUGAAAGUCCAGGGCUCAACCCUGGAAUGCCGGUGGAAACUGUCGGGCUAGAGUCCGGAAGAGGCGAGUGGAAUUCCCGGUGUAGCGGUGAAAUGCGCAGAUAUCGGGAGGAACACCAAUGGCGAAGGCAGCUCGCUGGGACGGUACUGACGCUGAGACGCGAAAGCGUGGGGAGCAAACAGG
rnacentral:rRNA from 1 species